CCUACGGGUGGCAGCAGUGAGGAAUAUUGGUCAAUGGACGAGAGUCUGAACCAGCCAAGUAGCGUGAAGGAUGACUGCCCUAUGGGUUGUAAACUUCUUUUAUAUGGGAAUAAACUGUUCCACGUGUGGGUUUUUGUGUGUACCCUAUGAAUAAGGAUCGGCUAACUCCGUGCCAGCAGCCGCGGUAAUACGGAGGAGCCGAGCGUUAUCCGGAUUUAUUGGGUUUAAGGGGGGCGUAGGUGGAUUGUUAAGUCAGUUGUGAAAGUUUGCGGCUCAACCGUAAAAUUGCAGUUGAAACUGGCAGUCUUGAGUACAGUAGAGGUGGGCGGAAUUCGUGGUGUAGCGGUGAAAUGCUUAGAUAUCACGAAGAACUCCGAUUGCGAAGGCAGCUCACUGGACUGCAACUGACACUGAGGCUCGAAAGUGUGGGUAUCAAACAGGAUUAGAUACCCUUGUAGUC
rnacentral:rRNA from 1 species